UUUACAUGGGCCAUUCCUUCAACCUCCCAAGAUCCUUGCCACUUCUUUCCCCUCUGCAACUCUCAGGUAAAGAUCGUAUCACCUAACACCCAGCCUCUGCCAGCACUGGAUUCCUGGACUAAAGCAGCUCCUGAGACCAGACACAAGCUAUUUAGUUAAAUGAACAACUCAAUUCAGUAAUCACAGAUGCUCCCAAACCCUGGCGACAAGGAAUUUCCACGAGACAAAGGAGUCCUGCCAAGCAGAGCUGGUUUUCAAAGACCGGCAAACCCACAAGGAAACAACUCACUGUGAGGGGAGAGAAGACAGGACCACUAGGACGCCAACAAGUGGGGCGCUGGUUUACAAGAGCUACGAGCAAAUACUCAGAACACUACAGAACCGCCUUGAAGGUUCGUAGGUAAGACUGAGCUAUACUGGUUCUCCAGUAUAUCGGGGUGACAUAAAGAAGCCAAGUUUUGUUCAUGAUCCUAGGCCAGACCACACCCAGAUUGAGAUGUGGGAUAAGACAAGCCCAUGACAAACUAAGGGUGGUGGGUGAGCACGCUGAAGCAACCCUGGGUGCCUGCGUCCCUGACUUUGAAGGCUGGUGAGAAAUUCCGUCUCAGACGUUCCCCUCUGCUUCAGCACAAGAACGCUGAGAAAUAGUCUCCGUUUGGGUGCCUGUAAAGCACUCAUUGUCCAGGCCUAUGAUGUGAUUCAUGACGACAGCUGCUCCACACCCUCCCCACACGGUGGCAAUUAAGGGUCGUUUGUCAUAACUCCAAAGCCAAGGUCCAGUCCUUUCACUAAAUCCCCAUUUAUCCCAACCCUCUUGUCAGAGAAGGAGUAAAUCGAGAUUCCUGAGGAUGAGGAUCGCUUGUCUAGAGCCACCGCGUGUUUAUCCAAUAAUGCAGCAAAGCUUUCCCACUUUUUGGACCAGCGGUAUUUCCGCUGGCAC
rnacentral:sRNA from 1 species